rnacentral:rRNA from 1 species
GUCUACAGCCAGGCUACCCUAAUCCCGUCAGAUCUUGGAAGCUAAGCAGGGUCGGGCCUGGUUAGUACUUGGAUGGGAGAACACCUAGGAAGACCAGGUGCUGUAGGUG